UACGUAGGGUGCAAGCGUUAAUCGGAAUUACUGGGCGUAAAGCGUACGCAGGCGGCUUUGCAAGACAGGUGUGAAAUCCCCGGGCCUAACCUGGGAACUGCAUUUGUGACUGCAUGGCUAGAGUUUGUCAGAGGGGGGUGGAAUUCCACGUGUAGCAGUGAAAUGCGUAGAUAUGUGGAGGAACACCGAUGGCGGAGGCAGCCCCCUGGGAUGUGACUGACGCUCAUGUACGAAAGCGUGGGGAGCAAACAGG
rnacentral:rRNA from 1 species